rnacentral:lncRNA from 1 species
UUUCUGCUGGUGCUGGCCGAACUUAGCUUGGAGAAAACACCAAGGAAGAUUUCUUCAUUUCACCUUCAAAUCCAACAACUUAGUGAGAAAAUCCACAAAGUAAACCGAUUAAACCUACUCUUGAGUGAUUAUCUAGUGAUUGGUGGUGGAAAUUUGGGAAGAGAAAGCUUGGGGCUGCUCUUAGGGACUUCUAAUCAAGAUAAGAGGAUGAUAUCUCUCUAACUUUCUCUUUCAAUCAUGGUUAAAGUAAGCUUGGUAGCUUGAUUGGUGGUAGAUUCAUGGAUGCUAGCAUGUGUAGGAGUUUUUCCCCAAUUUAAUUGAUGAACUAGGGUUUCUGAAUUUCUGCUCAAGUUGAAGUAUGAUGCAUGAAUGUUGCAAUUAAAGUUAUAUAAGGUUGUUUAGUGGUGAUUAGAACCAGAAAUUUGAGGAAAUUACACUUAGAGCUAAAAAUUCCAGAUUUCUGGAAAAUUUCCCAAGCAUUCUGUCCGAAAUUGUACCUAUAUGUUAGAGGCCGAAUUGGCCUUUGGUCAAAGAAGGAAAGUUGUAGAGAAUGGUGUUUUAUAAGUGCCUGUAAAAUUUCAGCUCAAUCGGAGCAACGUAGGAUGUGAAAAGUCCAAAAUACCCCUACUGUUUUAAGAAUUUCCCAGCAGUCCGUUUCUUCAGUUCAGUCCAGUUUAUCACGAUUUUUGACCAGGAUCCAUUCUGAUUUAGCUCUGGGCCAAAACAUAAAAGUUGUAGUGUUCUGAAGUAGCUUUAAAAUGCUUCAAAGAAAAUCUGAUUCGGACUUGUGUACACUGAGUUAGGUCCGUUACAGCAUAAUGCGUUUAAACUGCCGGUGAAUUGGUUUCUGGUUUAGUAAUCUGAGAUUUUGACUAAGUUACAUUAGGAAAUGGACUAAGUGACCUUCAUGAAUGUUGUAGCUCUGUGUCUUAGCUUCGAAACGGCAUAGGUUUCGUUUUAAUCCGAUAA